rnacentral:sRNA from 1 species
AAGACUAUACUUUCAGGGAUCAUUUCUAUAGUAUGUUACUAAAAUGCAGCUUUUUUGUCUUCAAACUUUUUGU